rnacentral:rRNA from 1 species
UACGUAGGGGGCAAGCGUUGUCCGGAAUCAUUGGGCGUAAAGCGCGCGUAGGCGGCCCGGUAAGUCCGCUCAUGAAAGUCCAGGGCUCAACCCCUGGAAAGCGGGUGGAUACUGCCGGGCUAGAAUCCGGAAGAGGCGAGUGGAAUUCCUGGUGUAGGCGGUGGAAUGCGCAGAUAUCAAGGAGGAACACCAAUAGCGAAGGCAGCUCGCUGGGACGGUAUUGACGCUAAGGCGCGAAAGCGUGGGGAGCAAACAGGG